AACGAACGCUGGCGGCAUGCCUAACACAUGCAAGUCGAACGAGACCUUCGGGUCUAGUGGCGCACGGGUGCGUAACGCGUGGGAACCUGCCCUUAGGUUCGGAAUAACUCCCCGAAAGGGGUGCUAAUACCGGAUAAUGUCUUCGGACCAAAGAUUUAUCGCCUUUGGAUGGGCCCGCGUUGGAUUAGCUAGUUGGUAGGGUAAAAGCCUACCAAGGCGACGAUCCAUAGCUGGUCUGAGAGGAUGGUCAGCCACACUGGGACUGAGACACGGCCCAGACUCCUACGGGAGGCAGCAGUGGGGAAUAUUGGACAAUGGGCGAAAGCCUGAUCCAGCAAUGCCGCGUGAGUGAUGAAGGCCUUAGGGUUGUAAAGCUCUUCUACCCGGGAUGAUAAUGACAGUACCGGGAGAAUAAGCUCCGGCUAACUCCGUG
rnacentral:rRNA from 1 species